AAAACAUCGCCUCUUGCUAAAAUAUAAGAGGUCCAGCCUGCCCGGUGACAAAGUUAAACGGCCGCGGUAUCCUAACCGUGCGAAGGUAGCAUAAUCACUUGUUCUUUAAUUGGGGACCUGUAUCAACGGCAUCACGAGGGUUAUACUGUCUCCUUCCUCUAAUCAGUGAAACUGAUCUCCCAGUGAAAAAGCUGGGAUUUACUUAUAAGACGAGAAGACCCCAUGGAGCUUCAAACUUACGGCAACUCUUAAAAUACAAGCCCUAAUAUACUAAGAGCUAUGUCUAACAGUUUUUGGUUGGGGUGACCGCGGAGCACAAAAUAACCUCCACAACGCACAGAAUUAAAUUUUUAUCUGAGAGCUACUGCUCUAGGAAUCAGAAAACUGACGUGAAAUGACCCGAUAUUCGAUCAACGGACCAAGUUACCCUGGGGAUAACAGCGCUAUCCUCUUUUAGAGUCCCUAUCGACAAGCGGGUUUACGACCUCGAUGUUGGAUCAGGGUAUCCUAGUGGUGCAGCCGCUACUAAGGGUUCGUUUGUUCAACGAUUAAAACCCUACGUGAUCUGA
rnacentral:rRNA from 1 species